rnacentral:rRNA from 1 species
UACGGAGGAUGCAAGCGUUAUCCGGAAUGAUUGGGCGUAAAGGGUCCGCAGGUGGCAGUGUAAGUCUGCUGUUAAAGAGUCUGGCUCAACCAGAUAAGGGCAGUGGAAACUACACAGCUAGAGUUCGAUAGGGGCAGAGGGAAUUCCUGGUGUAGCGGUGAAAUGCGUAGAGAUCAGGAAGAACACCGGUGGCGAAAGCGCUCUGCUAGGUCGCAACUGACACUGAGGGACGAAAGCUAGGGGAGCGAAUGGG